UAUUUUUGAAGAUACCUAGAUAAAAUUGAAACAUCACAGAAGAUUAAUAUAACUCCUGCAUAAGGAUGACAUGCAUAAAUCAAGAAAUGAUUCAAAUUUUU
rnacentral:snRNA from 1 species